UACGUAGGGGGCAAGCGUUGUCCGGAAUCAUUGGGCGUAAAGAGCGUGUAGGCGGACUGGAAGGUCUGGUGUGAAAGCCCGGGGCUCAACCCCGGAGGGUCACUGGAAACCAACAGUCUUGAGUCCGGAAGAGGAGAGUGGAAUUCCUGGUGUAGCGGUGAAAUGCGCAGAUAUCAGGAGGAACACCCAUUGCGAAGGCAGCUCGCUGGGACGUUACUGACGCUGAGACGCGAAAGCGUGGGGAGCAAACAGG
rnacentral:rRNA from 1 species